CAGCCGCCGCGGGAAUACGAAGGGGGCUAGCGUUGCUCGGAAUGACUGGGCGUAAAGGGCGCGUAGGCGGUUCACGCAGUCAGAUGUGAAAUUCCUGGGCUUAACCUGGGGGCUGCAUUUGAGACGCGUGGGCUUGAGUGUGAAAGAGGGUCGUGGAAUUCCCAGUGUAGAGGUGAAAUUCGUAGAUAUUGGGAAGAACACCGGUGGCGAAGGCGGCGACCUGGUUCAUAACUGACGCUGAGGUACGAAAGCAUGGGGAGCAAACAGGAUUAGAUACCCCGGUAGUCCCUGUCUCUUAUAC
rnacentral:rRNA from 1 species